UACGUGGGGAGCAAGCGUUGUUCGGAUUUACUGGGCGUAAAGGGCGCGUAGGCGGUCAGCACAAGUCAGUUGUGAAAUCUCCGGGCUUAACUCGGAAAGGUCAACUGAUACUGUGCGACUAGAGUGCGGAAGGGGCAACUGGAAUUCUCGGUGUAGCGGUGAAAUGCGUAGAUAUCGAGAGGAACACCUGCGGCGAAGGCGGGUCUCUGGACAGUUCCUGACGCUGAGGCACGAAGGCCAGGGGAGCAAACGGG
rnacentral:rRNA from 1 species